GUACUCUCACACUCUCUGAUUCAGGGAGCGGUGGACUUGGGUGUUUGCUGCUUACCUUGCGGCUCACCUCAAAUGCGUCAGUGCAUCUCUUGGUUGGACAUAGUACGGCGUGAUAAGUAUCUUCGCCGGCACCUCGCAAGAGGGUGGCCGAUUGGGAGCUCUGUGCUUUCAAACCGUCUUCGGACACUUUCUGACA
rnacentral:misc_RNA from 1 species